UCAACAAGAAUCUCUACUUGCUGCGUGACAAAGCACCAUCCACGCCUGGGGGUGGCGCAGUCGACUUCGUCAAUGGCUACACGGAAGAAGUGAGCUCAAAUCUGUGGUCCAUAGCUGAAACGAAGAAAACGUGACUGAUACCAUUUUGGCAGGAUACUUUAUACCUGAGGGACAUCGAGGCACGAGAGGACGCCGGAACGCCACCGAUUCUCCAGAAGAUCAAGGCUGCUUUAGCGUUUUGGAUCAAAGAGGAGAUGGGAUACGAGCUCAUCGAGUCCAGAGAGCAG
rnacentral:lncRNA from 1 species